rnacentral:rRNA from 1 species
UACAGAGGGUGCGAGCGUUGUCCGGAAUCACUGGGCGUAAAGGGCGCGUAGGCGGCCUGAUAAGUAGGGGGUGAAAUCCUGUGGCUUAACUGCAGGGCUGCCUCCUAGACUGUUAGGCUCGAGCACGGUAGAGGCAGAUGGAAUUCCCGGUGUAGCGGUGGAAUGCGUAGAGAUCGGGAAGAACAUCGGUGGCGAAGGCGGUCUGCUGGGCCGUUGCUGACGCUGAGGCGCGAAGGCCAGGGGAGCAAACGGG